rnacentral:misc_RNA from 1 species
GAUGAAGAACGUAGCGAAAUGCGAUAAGUAAUGUGAAUUGCAGAAUUCAGUGAAUCAUCAAAUCUUUGAACGCACAUUGCGCCCCCUGGUAUUCCGGGGGGCAUGCCUGUCCGAGCGUCAUUACAACCCUCAAGCUCAGCUUGGUGUUGGGCCCCGCCGCCCCGGCGGGCCCUAAAGUCAGUGGCGGUGCCGUCCGGCUCCGAGCGUAGUAAUUCUUCUCGCUCUGGAGGUCCGGUCGUGUGCUCGCCAGCAACCCCCAAUUUUUUUCAGGUUGACCUCGGAUCAGGUAGGGAUACCCGCUGAACUUAAGCAUAUCAAUAAGCGGAGGA